AACGAACGCUGGCGGCAUGCCUAACACAUGCAAGUCGAACGAGACCUUCGGGUCUAGUGGCGCACGGGUGCGUAACGCGUGGGAAUCUGCCCUUGGGUUCGGAAUAACUCGCCGAAAGGCGUGCUAAUACCGGAUGAUGUCGUAAGACCAAAGAUUUAUCGCCCAGGGAUGAGCCCGCGUAAGAUUAGGUAGUUGGUGAGGUAAAGGCUCACCAGGCCGACGAUCUUUAGCUGGUCUGAGAGGAUGAUCAGCCACACUGGGACUGAGACACGGCCCAG
rnacentral:rRNA from 1 species